rnacentral:rRNA from 1 species
AACGUAGGAGGCAAACGUUAUCCGGAUUUACUGGGCGUAAAGCGCGUGUAGGUGGUUUGGUAAGUAGGGCGUGAAAGCUCCUGGCUCAACUGGGAGAGGUCGUUCUAAACUGCCGAGCUAGAGGAUGGUAGAGGGAGGUGGAAUUCCGGGUGUAGCGGUGGAAUGCGCAGAUAUCCGGAGGAACACCAGUGGCGAAAGCGGCCUCCUGGACCACUCCUGACACUCAGACGCGAAAGCUAGGGUAGCAAACGGG